rnacentral:snRNA from 1 species
GGAUGUGAGGGCGAUCUGGCUGUGACAUCUGUCACCCCAUUGAUCGCCAGGAUUGAUUUGGCUCAUCCAGCUGGCUAGGCGGUGUCCCUUUCCUCCCUCACCGCUCCAUGUGCAUCCCUCCCGAAGCUGCGCGCUCGGUCGAAGAGGACGACCUUCCCCGCUAGAGGAGGACCGGUCUUCGGUCAAGGGUAUACGAGUAGCUGUGCUUCCCUGCUAGAACCUCCAAACAAGCUCUCAAAUGACAGACGAGUUCCGGCCUCUUGCAUCCUACCACCAAUACAGGGUGCAGUGUUUGGUGAGCCAGUCUGGAUUCUGGAGGGCACAUACUCAACUGAGUGUGUUUCCUGACCA